rnacentral:rRNA from 1 species
GCAACUCGCCUACAUGAAGUUGGAAUCGCUAGUAAUCGCGAAUCAGAAUGUCGCGGUGAAUACGUUCCCGGGUCUUGUACACACCGCCCGUCACACCACGAGAGUUUACAACACCCGAAGUCAGUGGCCUAACCGCAAGGAGGGAGCUGCCUAAGGUGGGGUAGAUGAUUGGGGGUGAAGUCGUAACAAGGUAAC